GGCGGGUGCUAACGUCCGUCGUGAAGAGGGAAACAACCCAGACCGCCAGCUAAGGUCCCAAAGUCAUGGUUAAGUGGGAAACGAUGUGGGAAGGCCCAGACAGCCAGGAUGUUGGCUUAGAAGCAGCCAUCAUUUAAAGAAAGCGUAAUAGCUCACUGGUCGAGUCGGCCUGCGCGGAAGAUGUAACGGGGCUAAACCAUGCACCGAAGCUGCGGCAGCGACACUCAGGUGUUGUUGGGUAGGGGAGCGUUCUGUAAGCCUGCGAAGGUGGCCUGUGAGGGUUGCUGGAGGUAUCAGAAGUGCGAAUGCUGACAUAAGUAACGAUAAAGCGGGUGAAAAGCCCGCUCGCCGGAAGACCAAGGGUUCCUGUCCAACGUUAAUCGGGGCAGGGUGAGUCGACCCCUAAGGCGAGGCCGAAAGGCGUAGUCGAUGGGAAACGGGUUAAUAUUCCCGUACUUGGUGUUACUGCGAAGGGGGGACGGAGAAGGCUAUGUUGGCCGGGCGACGGUUGUCCCGGUUUAAGCGUGUAGGUGUGUGUUCCAGGUAAAUCCGGUUCACUUUAACACUGAGGCGUGACGACGAGGCACUACGGUGCUGAAGCAACAAAUGCCCUGCUUCCAGGAAAAGCCUCUAAGCAUCAGGUAACAUCAAAUCGUACCCCAAACCGACACAGGUGGUCAGGUAGAGAAUACCAAGGCGCUUGAGAGAACUCGGGUGAAGGAACUAGGCAAAAUGGUGCCGUAACUUCGGGAGAAGGCACGCUGACACGUAGGUGAAGUGAUUUACUCAUGGAGCUGAAGUCAGUCGAAGAUACCAGCUGGCUGCAACUGUUUAUUAAAAACACAGCACUGUGCAAACACGAAAGUGGACGUAUACGGUGUGACGCCUGCCCGGUGCCGGAAGGUUAAUUGAUGGGGUCAGCGCAAGCGAAGCUCCUGAUCGAAGCCCCGGUAAACGGCGGCCGUAACUAUAACGGUCCUAAGGUAGCGAAAUUCCUUGUCGGGUAAGUUCCGACCUGCACGAAUGGCGUAAUGAUGGCCAGGCUGUCUCCACCCGAGACUCAGUGAAAUUGAACUCGCUGUGAAGAUGCAGUGUACCCGCGGCAAGACGGAAAGACCCCGUGAACCUUUACUAUAGCUUGACACUGAACAUUGAGCCUUGAUGUGUAGGAUAGGUGGGAGGCUUUGAAGUGUGGACGCCAGUCUGCAUGGAGCCGACCUUGAAAUACCACCCUUUAAUGUUUGAUGUUCUAACGUGGACCCGUAAUCCGGGUUGCGGACAGUGUCUGGUGGGUAGUUUGACUGGGGCGGUCUCCUCCUAAAGAGUAACGGAGGAGCACGAAGGUUGGCUAAUCCUGGUCGGACAUCAGGAGGUUAGUGCAAUGGCAUAAGCCAGCUUGACUGCGAGCGUGACGGCGCGAGCAGGUGCGAAAGCAGGUCAUAGUGAUCCGGUGGUUCUGAAUGGAAGGGCCAUCGCUCAACGGAUAAAAGGUACUCCGGGGAUAACAGGCUGAUACCGCCCAAGAGUUCAUAUCGACGGCGGUGUUUGGCACCUCGAUGUCGGCUCAUCACAUCCUGGGGCUGAAGUAGGUCCCAAGGGUAUGGCUGUUCGCCAUUUAAAGUGGUACGCGAGCUGGGUUUAGAACGUCGUGAGACAGUUCGGUCCCUAUCUGCCGUGGGCGCUGGAGAACUGAGGGGGGCUGCUCCUAGUACGAGAGGACCGGAGUGGACGCAUCACUGGUGUUCGGGUUGUCAUGCCAAUGGCACUGCCCGGUAGCUAAAUGCGGAAGAGAUAAGUGCUGAAAGCAUCUAAGCACGAAACUUGCCCCGA
rnacentral:rRNA from 1 species